rnacentral:rRNA from 1 species
AGCGAACGCUGGCGGCAGGCUUAACACAUGCAAGUCGAACGGUCCUUCGGGAUAGUUGCGGACGGGUGAGUAACACGUGGGAACGUACCCUUAGGUUCGGAACAACACAGGGAAACUUGUUCUAAUACCGGAUAAGCCCUUCGUGGGAAAGAUUUAUCGUCUUUGGAGCGGCCCGCGUCUGAUUAGGUUGUUGGUGAGGUAAGGGCUCACCAAGGAUACGAUCAGUAGCUGGUAUGAGAGGAUGGCCAGCCACACUGGGACUGAGACACGGCCCAGACUCCUACGGGAGGCAGCAGUGGGGAAUCUUGCGCAAUGGGCGAAAGCCUGACGCAGCCAUGACGCGUGGAUGAUGAAGGUCGUAGGAUUGUAAAAUACUUUCACCGGGGACGAUAAUGACGGUACCCGGAGAAGAAGCCCCGGCUAACUUCGUGCCAGCCGCCGCGGUAACAC